AGAGUUUGAUCCUGGCUCAGGACAAACGCUGGCGGCGUGCCUAACACAUGCAAGUCGAACGUCCUCUGUUGCUUCGGCGACGGAGGGAGUGGCGGACGGGUGAGUAACACGUGGGUAACCUACCCUUUGGUGAGGAAUACCGGCGAGAAAUCGCCGACAAUACCGCAUACGUUUCAGCAGAAACAAAGCUCGGGCAACCGGGCGCCAUGGGAAGGGCCUGCGGCCGAUUAGCUGGUUGGUGGGGUAACAGCCUACCAAGGCGACGAUCGGUAGCUGGUCUGAGAGGACGAUCAGCCACACUGGGAUUGAGAACGGCCCAGACUCCUACGGGGGGCAGCAGUGAGGAAUUUUCGUCAAUGGGGGCAACCCUGAACGAGCAACGCCGCGUGCAGGAUGAAGGUUUUCGGAUCGUAAACUGCUUUUCUCUGGGACGAGAACGGACGGUACCAGAGGAAUCAGCCCCGGCUAAUUACGUGCCAGCAGCCGCGGUAAUACGUAGGGGGCGAGCGUUGUCCGGAGUUACUGGGCGUAAAGCGCACGCAGGCGGUCCGACGCGUUUGGGGUGACAGCUCUGGGCUCAACUCAGAGAGGGUCUCAAAGACGGUCGGACUUGAGGGCCAGAGAGGGACAUGGAACUCCGGGUGGAGCGGUGAAAUGCGUAGAGAUCCGGAGGAAGACCAAAGGCGAAGGCAGUGUCCUGGGAGGCAACUGACGCUGAGGGGCGAAAGCCAGGGGAGCGAACGGGAUUAGAUACCCCGGUAGUCCUGGCCGUAAACGAUGACCAUUAGGCGUGUGGGGUAUCGACCCCCUGCGUGCCGGCGUUAACACAUGAAAUGGUCCGCCUGGGGAGUACGGUCGCAAGAUUAAAACUCAAAGGAAUUGACGG
rnacentral:rRNA from 1 species